ACUCCUUUGAUUGCAAGACUGCCAACCUUCUUGAUAUUUUUUACUCCUCCCCCCCAGGACAUUCCUGUGAUUCUCCAGCUGUUAAUAUUCUAUAAACUAGGGGUUAUUCUACAGACACACAUACACACAGCUUCCUCAAGAGAAAAACCAAGGAUGCAGAGAGUAAGAUUACACAGACAAUGCCAAUAUGGUAACGCUGCAUCAAACCUAAGGGACAGAUCCCAUAAGAAUGUCAGGACUUUCCAGUUUGGUUUUAUGGCUUGUAACAACCGUAACAAAUGAUUGUAGUAUAUAAUUCAUGGGAAGCAUCUGUCCAAUCCCAUGAUUCAAUUAGCAAAUUUUGGAAAUGUUAACUAUAAUAGAGUGGAGAGGGCAAAAGAGUACAGUAUUGGGGCUGCAAUGACCAAAGAACAAUGACCACAUCUCUUGAUCUUGACACACUAUUACUUUUUUUUUUUUUUUUUUGCAACUGCAUCACGCUUUUGGCUGGCAGUCAGCUUGGGAAUGAGGGGAGAAGCAUCAAGACUACAGUGAUCACCCUGAUGGAACUUCAUAAAGGACAUUCAUAAAUGUGAAUUUAAUGAGGUAUGGAUUAAAGAUGCUAUCAGCAACAUGGCUGCCCACAAAUAGUCUUCUGGGUUCCUUUCCUGAGAACAAACAACAAUGAAUAACCAUCAAUCCCAGAAGCAUCUACCAACUGUAGAACUGUAAAUAAUUGUUCAGUUAAUCCAAUGACAAGAACAGGAUUUUCUGGAAUGAUCUUUAACAUACAACUGUUAAAUUAAUUCUUUGUUUCUCAAUCUUUAACAGAUACCAAUCCAAUGAAAAAUGAAAACAAAAAUAUUUAAAAAUAAACAUUUAAUUUCAGGCAUGAAAAGGGCUACAGAUGUAUUUUAAUUGCUGUUACAAUUAAGAAAACAGACCUCUUGAUUGUUCAUACAAACCUACAAUACCAAGGAUUAAAGUGUAACUUAAGAGGCUCUUUUUUCCUUCAUGGCUUGUCUUACAAGCUCCAUGUCUUUCUGUAACAACUGCUUCAAAAUCUGUUUACUUUGCUUUUUAGGAUUUUCACAAAAAACACUCUUUAUGGCAUCAAGGACUUCCAUUGAUCUUUCAACAAUAUCUUGAGCCAUCUUUUUAUGUGGUGAAUUUUCUAUAUAUUCAGUUAAUUCAGGACUAAAGCCAUAUAAUAAAUUAAUAAAUGCUUUUAAUUUCCCCAUUUCUUUUUCCGUGUCUUCUGCUUUCUUUUCCAGAGACUCAGAUGCAGGCAAAAUGAUGUCCACUUCUGUUACAGAUGGAGCUGUUGAUGGGGAAGGGGAUCUGUCUAUCCCCACCUGUGUGGCAGGUGGAACUGUUGAUGGGGAAGGCGUGAUCUCUACAUCCAGCUUUAUUUCUGCCUCAGAUGCUUCUGAUGAGAGGGAGGAAGGCACUUCUAUGUCCAACUUCAUUUCCGUUAUAGGUGGAGCUGUUGAUGGGGGAUUAAGAAGCUCAAUGUCAAGUUUCAUCUGCUGUUCCUUCUUCUGCAACAGUUUCCUCUCUGCCUCCCCUGCUAAUUCCAGAGCAUUUUUUAAGUAACCCUCUGCUUCCUCAACAUACUCACGGAGAGCUGGAUCUUCUUUAACAGAGGAUGGUGCAUUCUUAAUGGAUUUAAUUAGUGUAUCAAUUGCUUCUAAGAUGUCUAAACCUCUAGGCUUAUGAUGAGCCAACUUCACUGGAUGGCUUUUCUGCUGUGGUUCAUUAUUGUCUAGCGUCAUAUGUAAUUUUUGUACAUUCUUUAGAGAUUCCACUAGACUAGCCAAGGCUCCAUUUGUUAACUGAUCAAAACUCUUACCUUCUCCCUUAGUAGUUGCUUCUUUUUCCACCUGGAUUGAAAUGGUGCCCAAUGUGUUUCCUGGACUUGCCUCUUCAGAAAUCAGGACAACAGACUCACUGGUCUCACUUGGGAGAUUUUCUGAGGGAUUUGUGUUGGAAUGCAGGAUAACAGAUGCUGUUGGGUCAUUUCUGAGUUUCCAAAAGGCUGUUGUAGUUGGAGCAUCCUUUUUCAUCAAGGCAAUUGUUCUGGGCUUCUCACUACUCUGGGGGCUCACAUUCACCCAAACAGUGUCCACUGCUACAGAUGGAGAAGUUACUAUGUCAGGUGCCAAAAGAGUUGGGGGUUUUUCAGUUGACAAUACAAGUUCUGUGGGGAUGUUUUUUACUACAUCUUGCAAAAGAUUCACAAGAUCAUUCAAAGUUUGCUCUUCC